rnacentral:rRNA from 1 species
GCUUGUCCAAAGAUUAAGCCAUGCAUGUCUAAGUAUAACUCUUUUACUUUGAAAACUGCGAACGGCUCAUUAUAUCAGUUAUAGUUUCUUUGAUAGUCCCUUACUACUUGGAUACCCGUAGUAAUUCUAGAGCUAAUACAUGCAUCAAUACCCAACUGUUCGCGGAAGGGUAGUAUUUAUUAGGUAUAGACCAACCCUCCUCGGAGGUGCUUUGGUGAUUCAUAAUAACCGAACGAACCGUAUGCGCAAGCGACGGUGGUUCAUUCAAGUUUCUGCCCUAUCAGCUUUCGAUGGUAGGGUAUUGGCCUACCAUGGCGUUAACGGGUAACGGAGAAUUAGGGUUCGAUUCCGGAGAGGGAGCCUGAGAGAUGGCUACCACAUCCAAGGAAGGCAGCAGG